rnacentral:lncRNA from 1 species
UUCAUGGUAUGGAAGUACUAUACUGGAUUUGAAGUGAGAAGAACUGAGAAUAUAAAAUCUUCCAUUUAUUAACUUAUUAACUUAAAAGGAGGUAAUGAUCAUAACUUACUUUGCAGUGUUGGUGAUAUAACGAAAAGUUUAGAAAACAAAUGCUUCUGAAAGUAAGAAAUAACACUAUUGGCUUAGUUGGCAAAUAAUGACAAUAUUUUGAAGACAUAUCUGAGGACUUACAUAAAACAUUUCUUAAAUCUUCUGUGGAUAUUAUAGAUCCUAGAGAUGAAUAACCUGUUUAUACAAUUUACGGAUUAUUCCUCUUCAUUUCUUGAGAAGUUUAGUUUCUGGCCUAUCAUAUAUAUUUUCUGAUCUAUGCCAUCUUUUUUAUUCCUGGCAAUCUCAGUAUCUGUGUAGAUGAAACUUAGAGUAGCCUGGCCUCUCAGUUGCUUCACCUCCAGCAAUAACAUGUUGCACCCUAGCGCAACUCUCAAAUCUUGUGGCCACACUCCAUCAUCUUGUCAUUAUCAACAAUGGCAUAUGUUCCGUAGCAUUGAUUUCAAGCAAUCAAGUCUCUGGUCACUUCCUCCUACCUUUUCAGUUCAUUCCUUCAAAAUUAUUUUAGCCCUAUUGGGUCUGCCAACCCACUAACCUUCACACAUACCUAAUGUCCUCAGUUCGCUACUUACCCAGCUUACACUCCAUGUAGCAUAAUCAGAAUCACAUACCUGCAUAUGCCCUUAAAU